AUUGCUCAGUGCUAAGUUUAUGUGUUUCAGUCUGUUUUUCUUAAAACUAUAAGCAAUAGGUCAGCUAUAUUUGUUGUAUGGAAGGAUUGUAAGCUGUUCAUGUCUGCCUGGCAUGGUUCAUCUGACCUUGACCUCAUUUUCACGAUUCAUUGGUCAAUGUUUAGUUUUCUUGGUUAAGUCUGUUUCUUAGAAACUAUAAACUAUAGGUCAACUAUAUUUAGUGUAUUGAAUGAUUGUUAGGUGUACAUGUAUUUCUCGUUUGGUUUAUAUGACCUUGACUUCAUUUUCUUGGAUCAUGUUAAGUUUAUGUAAUAGUUGUAGUAAAGCUUUCAUUUAGGACUAUCAACAUAAUAUCAAUGGUUAGUAAAGAAGGCGAGACAUUUCAGCGUGUGCACUCUUGUUUUAUCUA